UACGUAGGGGGCAAGCGUUGUCUGGAUUUAUUGGGCGUAAAGAGCGUGUAGGCGGCCUUACAGGUCAGCUGUGAAAACUCGAGGCUCAACCUCGAGACGUCGGUUGAAACCGUAUGGCUAGAGUCCGGAAGAGGAGAGUGGAAUUCCCGGUGUAGCGGUGAAAUGCGCAGAUAUCAGGAAGAACACCUAUGGCGAAGGCAGCUCUCUGGGACGGUACUGACGCUGAGACGCGAAAGCGUGGGGAGCGAACAGG
rnacentral:rRNA from 1 species